AACGCGAAGAACCUUACCAGGACUUGACAUGGAGUCGUCGUGUUCAGAGAUGGACAUUCCCGCAAGGGCGGCUCGCACAGGUGCUGCAUGGCUGUCGUCAGCUCGUGUCGUGAGAUGUUGGGUUAAGUCCCGCAACGAGCGCAACCCUCGCCUUUAGUUGCCAUCAGGUUUGGCUGGGCACUCUAAAGGAACUGCCGGUGACAAGCCGGAGGAAGGUGGGGAUGACGUCAAGUCCUCAUGGCCCUUAUGUCCUGGGCUACACACGUGCUACAAUGGCGGUGACAGUGGGAAGCUACUCGGCGACGAGGUGCUGAUCUCUAAAAGCCGUCUCAGUUCGGAUUGCACUCUGCAACUCGGGUGCAUGAAGGUGGAAUCGCUAGUAAUCGCGGAUCAGCAUGCCGCGGUGAAUACGUUCCCAGGCCUUGUACACACCGCUCGCGA
rnacentral:rRNA from 1 species